rnacentral:rRNA from 1 species
ACGGGAGGCAGCAGUGGGGAAUAUUGGGCAAUGGGCGAAAGCCUGACCCAGCAACGCCGCGUGAAGGAAGAAGGUCUUCGGAUUGUAAACUUCUUUUAUGAGGGACGAAGGACGUGACGGUACCUCAUGAAUAAGCCACGGCUAACUACGUGCCAGCAGCCGCGGUAAUACGUAGGUGGCAAGCGUUAUCCGGAUUUACUGGGUGUAAAGGGAGCGUAGACGGUUCUGCAAGUCUGAUGUGAAAGGCAGGGGCUCAACUCCUGGACUGCAUUGGAAACUGUAGAACUAGAGUGCCGGAGAGGUAAGCGGAAUUCCUAGUGUAGCGGUGAAAUGCGUAGAUAUUAGGAGGAACACCAGUGGCGAAGGCGGCUUACUGGACGGUAACUGACGUUGAGGCUCGAAAGCGUGGGGAGCAAACAGGAUUAGAUACCCUGGUA